rnacentral:rRNA from 1 species
GAUGAACGCUAGCGAUAGGCUUAACACAUGCAAGUCGAGGGGCAGCAUGGUCUUAGCUUGCUAAGGCUGAUGGCGACCGGCGCACGGGUGCGUAACGCGUAUGCAACUUGCCUCACAGAGGGGGAUAACCCGUCGAAAGACGGACUAAUACCGCGUACACUCUAUGUUGGGCAUCCAAUGUAGAGGAAAUGAAAUUCGCUGUGAGAUAGGCAUGCGUCCCAUUAGCUAGUUGGUGAGGUAACGGCUCACCAAGGCGACGAUGGGUAGGGGAACUGAGAGGUUGAUCCCCCACACUGGUACUGAGACACGGACCAGACUCCUACGGGAGGCAGCAGUGAGGAAUAUUGGGCAAUGGGCGGGAGCCUGAACCAGCCAAGUCGCGUGAAGGAUGACUGUCUUAUGGAUUGUAAACUUCUUUUAUACGGGAAUAACAAGAGUCACGUGUGGCUCCCUGCAUGUACCGUAUGAAUAAGCAUCGGCUAACUCCGUG